GCGGCCGCUUCCGAUGUCACGGCCAUCUCCAGGCUGGGCACUAAGUCGUCCAGGUCGUCUCCUCCUAAGUCCUCCAGAGCCUCCUCUUCUUCUGCACUGGAGCACAGGAGGAUGUUGGAGUUCCCCAAAAUGGCGGCGGCAGCUGUGGGGAGGACGGAGAAUCCUGCAGAAUAGUGUCCACGUCAUCCUCGCUCUCCUCCUCCUCCUGCUCCUCCUCCAGGUCCUCCUCAUCACUUUUUGAAGAGAUCUUGCAGGAGGGUUUGUGAGAGGCCAGGACCUUCUCCAGCCUUUUUUUCUCCUUCAGAAGGUCGGUGAUUUCCGUAUGGAGGGCAGACUUCUCCUCCUCUAGCUUAUCAGUUUCCUGAGGUGAUGAAGGAGAAGAAAGGAGAAGAAAACUUUAAAACAGUGCUACUGCUGCUGCGCUCUCUGCCCCAUAAUGUACUUUGAUAAACUUUAAUGACUAAAGACUUGUGUCACAUAUAGUACAAAGUAUGAAGAAAAAUGAUAGAAAAGAAAUCAACAUAUAUAUAUAUAUAUAUACAGAUACAACAAAGACUCUUGCCUUUGACUAUGACUAUGUGUUUACUAUAUGUAUACUAGAAAUAGCUCCCACAAAUAAUAAUUUACAAAUAUAUAUAUAUAUAUAUAUAUUUGUAAAUGAAGAGAGUUUUGAUGUACACGUUUUUAUUUAGAUUAUUUUUCAAUGCCAUUCGAGGGUAAAUCUAAAUCACGCUGAUACAGGGACGUAGUGACACCCACAUCCAACCUGGACCUCAUCAGUAACCAUUUCUCCAUGUGUGAUUUCAUAUUCGCAUCUAAACCGUGAUACUCACCGCCUGGAGCGUGUCUAUCAGCUCCCUCCGUCUGUUACGACACUUUGCUGCAGCGAUUUUGUUCCUCUCCCUCCUGAUCCUGCGCCUCUCCUCCUCCUCCUCCUCCUUUUUGGAAGACUGAAAUCAAUUAGAAAUCGUCUAUUAAUCACCCGUCCUGCUGAGUGCAGCCGCUUCAGCACUUGGCUGCCGAGCUCCAUGCCUGCUGCCAGAGCAAAUGUCGCUGAGCUGGCUGACAAACAGUGAUGCACUGAUGCUGUGUCUCCGUGUCGCAGAUCAGGCGUUAGAAAAAAACGCUGCUGCAACAACGUGGAGCCCCGAGCCAGAGUCGGUGUGAACGCGCACUUUAUGCAACGGCACGUUCACACACAGGGAUGCGCACGUCAGUCCAGCAAUUAAUGAACGGAGAUGUCAAUUAGAUACAAUCAUCCACCUACACUGAUACUGACUGGAUAUUAUUAAUAAACAGAGCUAGUCACGUGAAUGCAUGGGUGGAUAGACGAAUUGAUUGAUUGGCUAAUUGAUUGGUUAAUUGAUUGUUUGUUCGACUGAUUGUAGUUUUGUUUGCAUACCUGGCUCCUCUGUCCUUUCCUGCUGGAGGUCUUCGCCUUGUUCGCACCUGCCGUGGUGCUGAUGCUGCUGGACGCAUGUGCUGCGCCACGACUCCUACUCUUGGCCCGUCCGGAUGGAGGAGAGACAGAUGUGUUGACUGUCGGCUGCACCAUCCAUCUCAGAUCAGGAGAGGUGGAGACUGCAGUCACUGUCGGGACAAAGGAGUUUGCUGCGUCCUCCUGGUAGGGGGAAAAAAGACCCCGAAAACAUGGCAAUUCAUGUUUCGUGUUGGUAAGACCUGCCGAGCUGCAUGUACCUCGAUGAUGCUGCUGUCCACUGGUGAUAAAAGCCUGUCUGGAGGACGCUGGUCGCUGCAUCUGGGGGUGUCCCCGCCAGGCGAUGCUGUGCUGCAGCUGGACG